CAGUCGCCGCGGGAAUACGUAGGGUGCAAGCGUUAAUCGGAAUUACUGGGCGUAAAGCGUGCGCAGGCGGUUAUAUAAGUCAGAUGUGAAAUCCCCGGGCUCAACCUGGGAACUGCAUUUGAGACUGUAUGGCUAGAGUGUGUCAGAGGGGGGUAGAAUUCCACGUGUAGCAGUGAAAUGCGUAGAUAUGUGGAGGAAUACCGAUGGCGAAGGCAGCCCCCUGGGAUAACACUGACGCUCAUGCACGAAAGCGUGGGGAGCAAACAGGAUUAGAUACCCCAGUAGUCCCUGUCUCUUAUAC
rnacentral:rRNA from 1 species